AUGGAGGCUCUCCACCAUAGUGAAUCUAUCAGUGUUCUCUCCUUCUCCAUAGCCUUUGCCUUAUCCACUGCCUUUUACAUUGCCUUUGCCAUUGACUUCUUCAUUGCAUUUGCCUACUUUGUUGCCUUUACCUUCUUCUUUGCCUUUGCCUUCUCCAUUGCCUUGACCUUCUUCAUUGCUUUGACUUUCUACAUUGCCUUGACUUUCUCCAUUGCCUUUGCAUUCUCCAUUGCUUUUGCCUUUGCCUUCAUCAUUGCCUUGACCUUCUCCAUUGCCUUGACCUUCUCCAUUGCCUUGGCCUUCCCCAUUGCCUUUGCCUUCUUCUCAUAGUUAAAUUUAUGCACUUUGACUCCACUCUAUCUGCCAUGUAUCAAUGCUAUGUAAUUCUGGGAGCUAUAGCUUGGUGAAGCACCAGUACUUUUAGGCAGACAAAGCUAUAUACUUUGUAAAACUACCACUCCCAUGACUCCAUAGCUUUCAGCCAGGGUAGUUAAAACUGUGUCAAAUUGCAUUAAUUCUACAGUCUGAAGAAGCUAGAUAUCUAUGUAAGUUACAGAGCUCUAUUUAAGUAAGGCAAAAUAGUUACAGUUCCUUUUUUGGACCUUACUUGGCAAAAGAGAGGUUGGAAUGGAAGGAAUAGGUAUGAAGCAUGUCCCUAGAUCCUUCUAUGCAAAGUAAAUAACACCUGAACAAGUAGAUUAAGUCAUCUAUCUAUCUAUUUAUCUAUCUAUCUAUCAUCUAUCUAUUCUAUCGUCUAUCUAUCUAUCUAUCUAUCUAUCUAUCUAUCUAUCUAUCUAUGCAUCAAUCAUCUAUGCAUGCAGUAUGUAUAUAAAUACAUGAUGUAAUAGCAUAUUCCGGCAAUGAAGAUUAAAAGCUAAUUAUGAACACAUUGCCUGUACUAAUAUUUGUACUUAAUUUGAUUUGCAGUACACCAAACAAUCUGACUGAAAUUAUAUAGCUGCAUGAACACCCAUUAGGGUUCUUUUCAGCUGGCUUAUUCAUAUUUUUUAAAAGCCAUAUUAAAUGAGUUCUAAUAUUUUUAAAGGCAAAUGAAAGGCAUGUGAAGCCAAGAUAAAAGCCACUCAAUACAAUUAUUUAGCGGUAAUAUCAAUAGCUCUUAAUAUGUUCCUUAGCCAUUGUGAGCAUUAUGUGAUAUAUAUAUAUAUAUAUAUAUAUUUCUCAUAUUCUAGCAGAUGAAAAGAACUUGAGUCCCAGUUAAUUAGGAUGAACUGAAAGCAUCAAUUAGAAAGCAUCCGGUCACAUUGGUAAUGGGAAUCGGUGAUGAGCGAGCAAUGGGAAAUCUAUUUGAAUGGUAGCUCGACCGUGCUGCAAAUGAACUGGAAAAAAGGAGCUAAAACAUCUUGAUCUUGAAUUAGGUGUCCAAGAAAAACAAAAGACUUUCUGAGAUUAAUUAGAUUGUUGAAAGUGACAUGCUAAUGCUCCGGUGGGAAUCUAUGUUCCAUAAUGGAGAGCAGGUAUAAUGUUAUGCAUGACAUACCAGAUUUAUUUUUAGGGGCAACCCAACCUCAAAUUCCCAUGCAGCUAUGAAGGCUCAUAUACUUCCAUGACAUUUCUCAUGGUAUAUUUUAUAGAGUUGAUGUGAGGACAAAAUAGGAAUUGUGGAUAAGGAGAGAUAACACUUUGUAUCCCCUUGAGGAAGGCAUUGUAAUAUGUCUUCACGCUGACUCCAACUUACAAGUACAAAGGGUUAAGGUGGCUCAUGGGUUGCAUCUAUACCAUGAAAUUAAUGCAGUUUGACACCACUUUAACUGCCAUGGCUCAAUGCUAUGGAAUCCCAGAAUCCAUAGUUUGCACAACUUUGUUUUUGCAAGCUUGAAUUGAAUACCAAUCCUUCACAAGGCAGAGAAAUCCAACUACGUAUGUCCUUGUUUAUUCACAUCUAUGUAUCAUGUAUGUACUUAGGAUGUUCAUAUUUUAUAUUUUAACUAUGUUGACUGGGCUCAUCCCCAUGUAAUCGAGUACCUUCGGGGAGAUGGAGGCAGGGUACAAAAAUAGAGUUGUUAUUAUUAUUAUUGACACAAUGACAUUGUAUGACACAGCAAACAAGAUAGAUAUGCUGGAUUUCGUAUCACAAAAUCACAAGUCAAACACUUCCCAAGUGUCUAGGACUGUGUGAUGUAUUUUUGGAUGAUGCGUGCAGAUCCCAGUAGGGUGGCCUUUUGCAGUUUAUU
rnacentral:lncRNA from 1 species